rnacentral:rRNA from 1 species
AUUGAACGCUGGCGGCAGGCCUAACACAUGCAAGUCGAGCGGAGCGGCGGACGGGUGUGUAAUGCAUAGGAAUCUGCCUGGUAGUGGGGGAUAACGUCCGGCAACGGGCGCUAAUACCGCAUACUAUCAGAUGAGCCUAGGUCGGAUUAGCUAGUUGGUGGGGUAAAGGCCUACCAAGGCGACGAUCCGUAACUGGUCUGCGAGGAUGAUGAGUCACACUGGAACUGAGACACGGACAAGUGUCCGACGGGAGGCAGCAGUGGGGAAUAUUGGUGAAGGGGCGACAGCGUGUUUCAGCCAUGCCGCGUGUGUGAGGAAGGUCUGCGGAUUGUAAAGCACUUUAAGUUGGGAGGCGUUACCAACAGAAUAAGCACCGGCUAACUUCGUGCCAGCAGGCGCGGUAAUAC